GGUGAGUAAUGCCUAGGAAUCUGCCUGGUAGUGGGGGACAACGUUUCGAAAGGAACGCUAAUACCGCAUACGUCCUACGGGAGAAAGCAGGGGACCUUCGGGCCUUGCGCUAUCAGAUGAGCCUAGGUCGGAUUAGCUAGUUGGUGAGGUAAUGGCUCACAAGGCGACGAUCCGUAACUGGUCUGAGAGGAUGAUCAGUCACACUGGAACUGAGACACGGUCCAG
rnacentral:rRNA from 1 species